rnacentral:rRNA from 1 species
UACAAAGGUCUCGAGCGUUGUUCGGAUUCAUUGGGCGUAAAGGGCGCGUAGGCGGCGGGGUAAGUCUGGUGUGAAAUCUCGGAGCUCAACUCCGAAAUUGCACUGGAUACUGCUCUGCUAGAGGGCUGGAGAGGAGAUCGGAAUUCACGGUGUAGCAGUGAAAUGCGUAGAUAUCGUGAGGAAGACCAGUGGCGAAGGCGGAUCUCUGGACAGCUCCUGACGCUGAGGCGCGAAGGUCAGGGGAGCAAACGGG